GACGAACGCUGGCGGCGUGCCUAAUACAUGCAAGUAGAACGCUGAAGGAGGAGCUUGCUUCUCUGGAUGAGUUGCGAACGGGUGAGUAACGCGUAGGUAACCUGCCUGGUAGCGGGGGAUAACUAUUGGAAACGAUAGCUAAUACCGCAUAAUAGCAGUUAUUGCAUGAUAACUGUUUGAAAGGUGCAAUUGCACCACUACCAGAUGGACCUGCGUUGUAUUAGCUAGUUGGUGGGGUAACGGCUCACCAAGGCGACGAUACAUAGCCGACCUGGAGGGGUGAUCGGCCACACUGGGACUGAGACACGGCCCAGACCCCUACGGGGGGGAGCAGUAGGGAAACUUCGGCAAUGGACGGAAGGCUGACCGAGCAACGCCGCGGGAGUGAAGAAUGGUUUCGGAUCGUAAAGCUCUGUUGUAAGAGAAGAACGAGUGUGAGAGUGGAAAGUUCACACUGUGACGGUAUCUUACCAGAAAGGGACGGCUAACUACGUG
rnacentral:rRNA from 1 species